rnacentral:lncRNA from 1 species
AAACUGGAACAGCACAUAGGCUCAUGCUCUCUCUAACAUGACCUUUGUUCAUCAACUCUUCAACUUGUCUUUGUAAUUCUUUUGCUUCUUUGGGACUGCAUCUAUAAGCUGGUCUAUUUGGAAUUUCAGCAUCCGGAACUAGGUCAAUUUGAUGUUCAAUGCCUCUAAUUGGUGGCGAUUCUAGGCCAGCUUGAAUGAACAGUUUGGUGUCUAUUGGUGCUUCCUCACUUCCGCCUUGAGACAUGUUGCAAAAAAAAUGAAAAGAACCUC